rnacentral:lncRNA from 1 species
GGGAUGCCGGGGGCUGGGAGCAAGCGGCCAGCUCUCCCCGCAGUGCCACACUUGCCACAGGACUAUGAGGACUCCAAGAGGUCUACUUGCAGACCAGCCAAGGUGGAAGGACAGAACACGCCCCGUGUGUUAAAUACUGUGUUGUUAACAGUUGUUAGCUUGAUGUUUAACUUUUAAAAACUGGGCCUCCAUUUGUACUCUUGGCCUGGACCCCCAGACUUUCGGGUGAGUCCGUCCUGACCUCCUUUUCACUUCUCAGACUCCUCUAACCCCACAGCUCAAGGCCCGGGUGGCCUCAGUCCCCUUCGACAGACCAUCGUGGCCAAGGCUGCUGGACCGCACCCCACCCGGGGCACUUUUUAGGAGCUCCCCUGCCACCCCCACCAUGACUGACAGCCCACACGUGUCUGAAUUGCCAGCAGCUCCAUGGGAGAUACUGCUCGGCUUUUUCAGUUAAGGUGCAUGAUUGUCCCACAGGAACAAGGACUCACCCAUGAGGAAUCUAAACAAGCUUAGGUUUUCUUAAAAAAGGAAAUGUAUUGGCUCCCAGAACCUUGGGGAAAACUAUGACCAGGAACUUAAAAAUCCCAUCAGGACUGUCCUUCCAGCUCUUGCUGCUGUCGUGCAGCCUGUUCUCUCCCUGCAGACCAGUCCCCUCCACGUUGCAGGAAUCACGGCCACGACAGUGUCCAGGUUUAAUCCACAGCUUUAGCUCCAUGGAGAGAUGGACUUCGAGUCCUCUUGGGUCCCAAGACCCAAAUCCUUGGCAAAGGGACUUGCUAACAGAUCUUGGGUCAGCUCUUAUCUCUGCCCAACCAAGUGAAGUCUUGGGCUGGUUCUUCUGAAAAUGGCUGUUCCAGAGUUUCCGCUGUGCCACAGUGGGAUCAGCAGUGUCUCUGCAGCGCUAGACGCAGGUUCGAUCCCUGGCCUGGCACAGUGGGUUAAAGGCUCUGGCGUUGCCACAGCUGCAUUGUAGGUCACACCUGAGGCUCCGAUCUGAUCCCUAGCCCUGGAUAUUUAACGGCUUUGCCAUCCCUGUUGCCAGGAAAAGAGCAGAUUCCAGGUGCGCAGACAAUCCUCAGCAUGUCCCUAAGGUCUGCAGGUGAUUCUGCCGCAGACUCUGACUCUGCUUGCCCGCCCGCCUUUCCUCUCUGCCUCCUUCCUGCCCUGCUUGUCCUUCCUUCCUGACCUGGAUUUGAAUCCUGAGACUUCUGCUUCCCAUGGAAUCCAGGCUCCAGAAGCACAGAGAGGUCCCCGUCCCAGCUCUGCCACCAACUUGCUGAUGGGCCAGAGCAUAUUACUACUUUAUUUCCUGGACCUUAAUUUCCUCAGCUGUUAAAAAGGGAGUGGGGAGCACUUUGCUCCCCAAACAGGUCUCUCCACCUCUGUUUCUGAAUUUUGAGCUAUCAGCCUAACUUCUCGAGGCCUCUUUUCCCACCCUACACCUUUAAACAGUGGAUUUCUCUCUGUUUUAAUGAAGUAUUCAUUUUCAAUCCUUGAUUUUUAGACCAUAACAUUUAAUCUUCGGUACCGCAGCCUGCCUACUUGGCACUGUUUUAAAUUGAGAGCUCCACCUUAAAGCUGUUUUGCUGAGGGCAGUGUUCCCUCUAUUAACUAAUCCUUUGAGGAAAUAAUGCCAUUAUAGGAAGUCAGCAGUGUUCAGAACAAAACCCAUCUUAUAAAUCAAGCCGAGCAGGGUUCCGGAUACCUCCAGGUGCAACUACCAGUUGGUCUGGCCUUGUUGGAAGAAAAUGGGGCAAAGUCUUACAGGACCGAAACAUGUGACUUUUUUCUGACUCAGCUCCUGAGUGGGGUCUUCCCUCCUCCUACCUGGCUCUGACCCCCAGGGUUUGGUGGCCUGGGACCUGCCAUCAGGAAUGAAGUUUCAUUGGGAUCCUGGUCUCCAGUCAGUGGAAUUAGAGGAUGGACUGUCUUUUUCCCUCCCGUCUGGACAACCCAAAGGAGCACUGCUUGGCUAAGCCUCAGAACCCAAAUCAUUUGUUUUUUUCAGGAUGCUCUGAUAGAAAAUCGGGGCGCAUCCAGGAGGGCCUGUGGUCUUUUCUCCAUUCCAGGUGCUCGGGCUGCUGGCUAGAGCUCCCGACAGCUGAGUCAGGUCCCCCUGGGAUUCCUCUAGACCCUGGAGGCCACUCUGAGCUUCCUGAAUCCUGCCUCAUGCCAGGGCCCUCCCUGAGGCCAUCCCGUCCCUCUGUCCCUCACACCACCCCCUGCCUCUGCUGAGCUCAGGUGCUGCCUGGACCUGCCCUUCCCUCCCCUCCCCUCGGUUUCAAGGUCCCCAGGAGGGUAUUUUGUAGUUUAUGUGCUUGUCUGAAAUAAUCUGGGUGGUUUACAUCCCCCACCUCCCCGACCCCCCACCCUGAAGCGCACCAGCCAGCCUCCCCAGUCCUUCUGCCUCUCACCAGCAAUGAUGUCAUCUGUGUGCCUCUUUAUCACCAGCAGAGGUUUUAUCAAAGGCUCUACAAUUUUAAUUACUGGUUUAAUUUUCCUAGAUGACAACAAAGCAAGCACAUUUUAUCUGGGAGAUUUGUCUCUGGUGAAACAGAGACAGGAAGACAUUGCAAGGAAGAAGCAGGCAAUGGUUUUUCAUUCACUGUGGAGCGCUGUAUAGGCUGAAUAACAGCCACCCACAGAUAGCAAGUCCUAGUCCCCGGAAGCUGUGCCUGUGGCGUUAUUGGGAAGUGGCCCUUUGCAGGUGUGAUUAAGUUCAGGAUCAUGAGAUGAGAUAACUGUGGGUUUUUCAGGUGGGUCCUAAGUGCCGUCGCAAGGGUCCUUGGGAGAGGCAAGAGGAGAUGAUAGGGACACAUAAGGGAAAAGGUGAGAGGAAAACAGAGGGAGACAUAGCCACAAGACAGGAUUGCCUGGAGCCACCAGAGCUGGAAGAGGCCAGGGAGGACUCUCCCCUAGAGCCCCGGGGGACUGCCAACCACCUGACUUCAGACUUCUGGCCUCCAGCUCUGUAAGAGAGUCCAUUUCUAUUGUUUUAAGCCACCCAGGUUGAGGUUAUUAGUUAUAGCAGCCUUGAAAAAAUGAAUAUACACUCUAUUUCUAGGAUGGGGGCAUGGCUUUCUUUCUCAUGAAUGUGGGAUCUGGCCAGGACCUACCCAUGCAUUAUUUCAUUCAUUUGUUUAGCUAACAUUUCAUCUACGUUUCAGGCUCUGUGCUAAGCUCUGGGGACACGAAAGAAUUCAGAAACUAUUCCUGGGCGUUCCCGUCGUGGCGCAGAGGUUAACAAAUCUGACUAGGAACCGUGAGGUUUUGGGUUCGAUCCCUGGCCUUGCUCCGUGGGUUAACGAUCUGGCGUUGCUGUGAGCUGUAGUCCACCGGCCUACGCCAGAGCCACAGCAACGCGGGAUCCGAGCCGCGUCUGCAACCUACACCACAGCUCACGGCAACGCCGGAUCCUUAACCCACUGAGCGAGGGCAGGGACCGAACCCGCAACCUCAUGGUUCCUAGUCGGACUCGUUAACCACUGCACCACGACGGGAACUCCGGGAAGAAAUUUUUUUAAAAACCGGUGUGUCUGUGUGUGUGUGCGGUGGUGGGAGGUAAGGAGUAAACAGGAUGCCCUGACAGUGGAGGAGACAGAAGACAGGGCCCUCCAGUCAUCGUAAGGGUAACCAUCCCUGGGCGUCUGCUCUGUGCCAAGAUCACCCAACACUUCACAGGA